GGGGGAGUGGCUUAAGGGGUAGAGUGCCUGUUUGGCAAACAGGAGGUCCUGAGUUCAAUCCCAGUACCACA
rnacentral:tRNA from 1 species